rnacentral:rRNA from 1 species
UACGAAGGGGGCUAGCGUUGUUCGGAAUUACUGGGCGUAAAGCGCGCGUAGGCGGUUUUCCAAGUCGGGCGUGAAAGCCCCGGGCUCAACCCGGGAAAUGCGCUCGAAACUUGAAGACUGGAGGCCGGAAGAGGGUAGUGGAAUUCCCAGUGUAGAGGUGAAAUUCGUAGAUAUUGGGAAGAACACCAGUGGCGAAGGCGGCUACCUGGUCCGGACCUGACGCUGAGGCGCGAAAGCGUGGGGAGCAAACAGGG